rnacentral:lncRNA from 1 species
AACAUCAGAGCAAGUACUAAGAAUUUACAAAGGAGUCAAUCUUUUUACAAAACAAAAAUCAUACAUCAAAAGAAAGGCGCGGAAGAUGGAAAACGGCCAGGUGGUGGAUUCCUGUGCACGUCUACUGCCUAGGAGCGCAAAACAAUAAAAAGGGUGAGUGGACCCAAAAACAAAGUUUAGAAAAAUAACAUAUGAACAUCCGAU